ACCUUUGACACACAAAACUAUGCAGUAAAAAUACAUUUGUGCCUGAUAAUAGGCUUGAGAUGCUCUACUUGAACGAUAAACCGAGGAGGUAGAGUUGCCUUAACUUUUUUCUUCAAAAAUAUGAAGUACCAUCUUUAGAAUUCCUUAACUAAUUCAUCUUACAUAUGUUUCACAGGAAUUGAUGGAUGAUACCUAAUUAAUGAAGAAGCACAUGCCAGAUAAAAAGGUGAUUGAUUUUUUAACUAUACACACUUCAGAUUUUAGAGAUGUGUCUAAUUUUUUAAAUUUAUAUGUAUGUAGUCACAGAAUAAUAAAGUUUCACCUAGCAAGCUUUCAUGCGAACUGGUGCGUGUAAAAGAGAAACUACAUGACAGUAAUGGGAGUACAUUACACAAAGAAGGGCGUCAAGACAAAAUAUCAUCAGCAGCAGCACGUGAGCCCCAUGGAGACUGGGAUCUGUUGUGAUAUCAGAUGACUCAGAGGAUGAAUGCACUGAGACGAAUUUGCCAGAACAAUAGGAAAAAGGUGUCCGCGGGAACAAUAGACAUGUUAUACAAAAGCCAAAAAUACAAUGCUUGAAGAUGAAGGAAAUAGUACGACAUACUAUUUAUAUUGACCAAGUUAAGUAGGACUACCUGACAUCGAUCAGGAUAAGGAUACUUAUUAGAUUAAGCCUAUGAGUGUUAGCAAUAUUCUUAGUCCAAAAAGAUUUAAAACUUUCUUCAUGUAGUUUCCUUUAUGUGCAUGCUAUUUUAUUUGAAUCUGUAUGAGGCCAGCACAAUAUACAAGAACAUACUACAAGACCAGAGUUUGAGACAUUAGGAUUCACUUCACAAUUUGAAGAAACUAUACAUUGGCAAAUCUAUAUGACGCCACCACAAUAGACAGGAACAUACCUUGGUUUAGUAACUUAAUAGCAGAACCGGAUAGCAAAUCAACGGCCUCUACUGUUGCAUACCGCUAGCUUUGCCCGGCGCCGCCAUU
rnacentral:lncRNA from 1 species